rnacentral:misc_RNA from 1 species
GAUGAAGAACGCAGCGAAAUGCGAUACUUGGUGUGAAUUGCAGAAUCCCGUGAACCAUCGAGUCUUUGAACGCAAGUUGCGCCCGAAGCCAUCAGGUUGAGGGCACGUCUGCCUGGGCGUCACAUAUCGUUGCCUGAUGCCAGUUUCCUCGUGAUGGGUGACUGUGCAGGGCGAAUGAUGGCUUCCCGUGAGCAUUGUUGCCUCAUGGUUGGUUGAAAAUUGAGUCCUUGGUAGGGAGCGCCGUGAUAGAUGGUGGUUGAGUGACGAACGAGACCCAAUCAUGUGAGACCCCUACCGAAUUUGGCCUUCAUGACCCACAUGCGUCUUUGGAACGCUCAUGACGAGACCUCAGGUCAGGCGGGGCUACCCGCUGAGUUUAAGCAUAUCAAUAAGCGGAGGA